UACGAAGGGGGCUAGCGUUGCUCGGAAUCACUGGGCGUAAAGCGCACGUAGGCGGACUCUUAAGUCGGGGGUGAAAUCCUGGAGCUCAACUCCAGAACUGCCUUCGAUACUGAGAGUCUUCGAGUUCGGGAGAGGUGAGUGGAACUGCGAGUGUAGAGGUGAAAUUCGUAGAUAUUCGCAAGAACACCAGUGGCGAAGGCGGCUCACUGGCCCGAUACUGACGCUGAGGUGCGAAAGCGUGGGGAGCAAACCGG
rnacentral:rRNA from 1 species